rnacentral:rRNA from 1 species
GCUUGUCUCAAAGAUUAAGCCAUGCAUGUCUAAGUAUAAACGAUUUUAUACGUGAAACUGCGAAUGGCUCAUUAUAUCAGUUAUAGUUUAUUUGAUGAUCUCUUACUACUUGGAUAACCGUAGUAAUUCUAGAGCUAAUACAUGCACAAAAUCCCGACUUACGAAGGGAUGUAUUUAUUAGAUACAAACCAACAUCGUGGUGAUUCAUAAUAACUUUGCGAAUCGUAUGCCUCACGGCGACGAUGAAUCAUUCAAAUUUCUGCCCUAUCAACUUUCGAUGGUAAGGUAUUGGCCUACCAUGGUUACAACGGGUAACGGGGAAUUAGGGUUCGGUUCCGGAGAGGGCGCCUGAGAAAUGGCGACCACAUCCAAGGAAGGCAGCAGG